rnacentral:rRNA from 1 species
ACGACGCUGGCGGCGUGCCUAAUACAUGCAAGUCGAACGGUCUUUCUAUGGAAGCUUGCUUCCACUGAGAAGAUAGUGGCGAACGGGUGAGUAACACGUGGGUAACCUGCCCAUAAGAGGGGGAUAACAUCCGGAAACGGGUGCUAAUACCGCAUAGUUUUCUUGAUCGCAUGAUCGGGAAAGGAAAGACGGCCUUUGUGCUGUCGCUUAUGGAUGGACCCGCGGCGUAUUAGUUAGUUGGUGAGGUAAUGGCUCACCAAGACGAUGAUACGUAGCCGACCUGAGAGGGUGAUCGGCCACAUUGGGACUGAGACACGGCCCAAACUCCUACGGGAGGCAGCAGUAGGGAAUCUUCCGCAAUGGACGAAAGUCUGACGGAGCAACGCCGCGUGAGUGAAAGAAGGUUUUCGGAUCGUAAAACUCUGUUGUCAGAGAAGAACAAGUUGGAGAGUAACUGCUCCAGCCUUGACGGUAUCUGACCAGAAAGCCACGGCUAACUACGUGCCAGCCGCCGC